rnacentral:lncRNA from 1 species
CUGAUUCGGAGCCGGCAACGCUGGCUGAUUAGGUUGAGCCGCCGGGACAGGUACUCGGUCCUGCUGCUGAUUAGUUCGGGCAGCCACAUAUUGAACUAAAGCUCCACCUUGCACCUUUCUCUCAAUGAACUCUUUUAAACUGGCACAAUCGUUCGUCUCAUGUCCCGACGCUUGAUGGUAGUCGCAAUACUUGUGGGGAUUUCCCUUUCCAGGCUUGAUGUUAUCUCGUGGUGGCUC